GAUGAACGCUGGCGGCGUGCCUAAUACAUGCCAGUCGAGCGAACGGACGAGAAGCUUGCUUCUCUGAUGUUAGCGGCGGACUGGUGAGUAACACGUGGAUAACCUACCUAUAAGACUGGGAUAACUUCGGGAAACCGGAGCUAAUACCGGAUAAUAUUUUGAACCGCAUGGUUCAAAAGUGAAAGACGGUCUUGCUGUCACUUAUAGAUGGAUCCGCGCUGCAUUAGCUAGUUGGUAAGGUAACGGCUUACCAAGGCAACGAUGCAUAGCCGACCUGAGAGGGUGAUCGGCCACACUGGAACUGAGACACGGUCCAGACUCCUACGGGAGGCAGCAGUAGGGAAUCUUCCGCAAUGGGCGAAAGCCUGACGGAGCAACGCCGCGUGAGUGAUGAAGGUCUUCGGAUCGUAAAACUCUGUUAUUAGGGAAGAACAUAUGUGUAAGUAACUGUGCACAUCUUGACGGUACCUAAUCAGAAAGCCACGGCUAACUACGUG
rnacentral:rRNA from 1 species